rnacentral:rRNA from 1 species
AGGAUGAACGCUGGCGGCGUGCUUAACACAUGCAAGUCGAACGGUGAAGUGAGGAGCUUGCUCUUUGCGGAUCAGUGGCGAACGGGUGAGUAACACGUGAGUAACCUGCCCUUGACUCUGGGAUAAGCGUUGGAAACGACGUCUAAUACCGGAUACGACCUCCGAAGGCAUCUUCUGGAGGUGGAAAGAAUUUCGGUCAAGGAUGGACUCGCGGCCUAUCAGCUAGUUGGUGAGGUAAUGGCCCACCAAGGCGACGACGGGUAGCCGGCCCUGAGAGGGUGACCGGCCACACUGGGACUGAGACACGGCCCAGACUCCUACGGGAGGCAGCAGUGGGGAAUAUUGCACAAUGGGCGCAAGCCUGAUGCAGCAACGCCGCGUGAGGGACGACGGCCUUCGGUUGUAACCUCUUUAGUAGGGAGAAGCCGCAAGGUGACGGUACCUGCAGAAAAGCACCGGCUAACUACGUGCCAGCAGCCGC